rnacentral:lncRNA from 1 species
AAGAAAUGGAGUGGAAGAGGAAGAGGGAGAGGAGGAAGAGGAGGAGGGACAAAGAAAGGAGAAGGAAGAGGAGGAGGGGGGAGAGGAGGAUGGAGAGAAAGAGAAAGAAGGAAAGAAGGAAGAGGAGGAGGGAGGAAAAGAGGAGAGAAGAGGGAGGGCCCCGGAUCUAGAGGAACACUGGGUGGGAGCUGGGGAAGCCAACACCAGGAGAAGGGUUUAAUUUGUUUUCUUCUGCUCAGCUGUGCCAACAAAAAAGCAAAUGAACCCGAGGAGCCCAGACAAGGUAGCUGAGACAAGAUGCUGACAUGCAGCUUGGACCCAGGGAAAAUUAUCUUCCUAACUUCUACCUUGCCGCAGACACCAACCCUGGGGCUUCUAAGGGGCGGGCAAUGCCCCCCACGUCCUCCUUGUGCAUACGGCCUCAUCUCUGUGCAGUAAAAUCUGACACAGAGAUUCAUCGGACAUGUGCCUCCACCCCCCCUCCCACAUCCACCCACCACAGGGACAUGAGCUGUUCAUCUUCUUUUUGGCUCAGUUUGCAGCCUCCAGAACACUUGCAAGGGGCACCUUGCCCAGCUCCAAGAUCUGACGAGGCACCGGGGCCCUUCUGAAUCCUUGGCACUCUCCCAAGUUGCAUUUUGUCUGUUCAUCUCCCUUCAGAGGCCAGAGUGGACAGUGUCUCCUGGCUGAGCCAGGCCAGAGUGGACAAUGUCUUCACUGCAGGCCACAGAAUGAAGUUCCCAGGAGGCCUUGACUGCAGAGGUUCAGGCCCAUCUGUUCCAUCUCUCUGCAAACCUCCUCCCCACUGCCACUGACCCUGAGCUGUGGGCUGCAAACAGCAGAUGAGACAGCCCAUGAUCCUUGCCCUGGACAAGGUCAAUGUCCUGUGGGGGAAGGGACAGAAGCAGCUGUUUAUAAAACCACCUGAUUCCGGUAAUAGAGGCAUGGACAGGAAUAACCUGCAGCCCCCAAGGAGAUGGCUACAGACUCCUGGAGUCAUUUGGGAAAGGUCCAAAGAGAAGAAGACUUGACUUGAGCGGGUCUGCAGGGAUGCCUGGGAAGUUUACCAGGUUUUGCUUGCCUUUCGGGGACCUGAAAUGACACUCUCACGAGGCGAGCAUUAGUUCUUCACCCUCACUAAAACAUCUAAAUUUCUACAUCCUUGAAAUAUAAACAAUGUGACCCCUUCAGCUCACCAGAUGGUCCCCGUGUCUUCUCAGCACAUAGUGGGUACACAGAACUGUGGGCUAGAUGCUUUGGGAAUCAAGACAAGGGGAGAGAGGACCAGGGACAGGGCCCAGGGGAACACAUACCAAGCUCCAGGCUUCCAGAAUUCUCCAAACAUCCCGCCCCGGACAGAAGGGUAGUCUUGCCAAGAGAGCAAGGGCUAUAAAGUUUCCCUGCAUAGCUCCUAGAUAGAUACAUCUAAUGUUGCCACCAAAAACAAAAACAAAAACAAAACAAAACAAAACGAAAAAACAAACAAAACAAAACAAAAGAACCAGUGAGAUCCCUGGGCUCUGUCCACCUCGCCAGCAGGAAUAGAAAGACUUGCCUUUAUCCCAGACCUCAUUUCGGGCUCGGUGGCUCAGCCCAGCCCAGCAUCUCAGG